GAUGAACGCUGGCGGCGUGCCUAAUACAUGCAAGUCGAGCGAACAGACGAGGAGCUUGCUCCUCUGACGUUAGCGGCGGACGGGUGAGUAACACGUGGAUAACCUACCUAUAAGACUGGGAUAACUUCGGGAAACCGGAGCUAAUACCGGAUAAUAUAUUGAACCGCAUGGGUCAAUAGUGAAAGACGGUUUUGCUGUCACUUAUAGAUGGAUCCGCGCCGCAUUAGCUAGUUGGGAAGGUAACGGCUUACCAAGGCAACGAUGCGUAGCCGACCUGAGAGGGUGGUAGGCCACACGGGAACUGAGACACGGUCCAGACUCCUACGGGAGGCAGCAGUAGGGAAUCUUCCGCAAUGGGCGAAAGCCUGACGGAGCAACGCGGCGUGAGUGAUGAAGGUCUUCGGAUCGUAAAGCUCUGUUAUUAGGGAAGAACAAAUGUGUAAGUAACUAUGCACGUAUUGACGGUACCUAAUCAGAAAGCCACGGCUAACUACGUG
rnacentral:rRNA from 1 species